rnacentral:rRNA from 1 species
GCUUUAGCGCGGUGGUCCCACCUGACCCCAUGCCGAACUCAGAAGUGAAACGCCGUAGCGCCGAUGGUAGUGUGGGGUCUCCCCAUGUGAGAGUAGGGAACUGCCAGGCA